AUUAUAAUUUAUCCUGCGCGAUCGGUAAAUUCUUCGUAUUGCAAUAAAAUAUUUGGAGUGAAAUUCAAUGGUUUUUAUAGGUGCCUUUGUCUCGGCCAUGACCUCAAAUAGACAUCGUACACUGUUUCAAACGCUGCUCAUGCAAUUUUCGCUGUAAACAACAGAUUAUGGAGAACAGAAGCGGCUGUGAUUUAGAAAAUUCCUGCUCCAAGAAAAUUCUAAAAAGUAUUCGAUCAUACCAACGGGCAACUAAAUGAUGGCACUCCGGGAUAAAAUGUUCUGUUCCCAAGUCUGUUCCAGUUCCCGCUGUGGAGUUCGUGAACAGAAACCGAUGAAAAAAAAAUUCAACUUGGAUGAAUUUGAACCACGAAAGGUGAUGGGCAUGCUUACAACUGUGGACGUGGAGCUCUUCCAGCCAAUCCAAUCUUGUGGCCCUUCCUCUGUUCCAAAAACGUACUUCAGCUAGCAGCGAGGGAGCAAAGAACAACAAGAUAUUUCUGAUCUGGAUGAAUUAUUUUUAUAGUUUUUUUUUCCGGAAGGCGGAAUUUAUGCCGAAUCGUUUUAUGGAAUUUUAGAACGUCAUUAUCAGGAUGAAACAAAAUCUGUGGUACGACAAAUAGCUAAAAUUGUAGCAUUCCAUGUAAAAGAGACACAUUAAAAUAAAUGUUAUCAAUUCCAGAAAUCAA